GGGGUUGCUGUAGUUCAGUGGUAGAACAUCUGCUUUUCAUGCAGAAGGUCUUGGGUUCAAUCCCUGGCAACUCCA